rnacentral:rRNA from 1 species
GAUGAACGCUGGCGGCGUGCUUAAUACAUGCAAGUCGAACGGAGAUAGUAGCAAUAUUAUCUUAGUGGCGAACGGGUGAGUAACGCGUUGGUGACCUGCCCCGAAGAGAGGGAUAGCAGUUCGAAAGGACUGAUAAUACCUCAUGUGGUUGUUGGUUUUAGAAUCUGACAACUAAACGGAUUUAUUCGCUUCGGGAGGGGCCUGCGUCCCAUCAGCUAGUUGGUAGGGUAAUGGCCUACCAAGGCGAUGACGGGUAGGGGACCUGAGAGGGUGGCCCGCCACAAUGGAACUGAAACACGGUCCAUACACCUACGGGUGGCAGCAGUAGGGAAUAUUGGUAAUCUGCGAAAGCGGGAACCAGCAACGCCGCGUGCACGAUGAAGGCCUUCGGGUCGUAAAGUGCUUUUAGAGAGGAUGAGGAAGGACAGUACCUCUAGAAUAAGCCUCGGCUAACUACGUGCCAGCCGCCGCGGUAACAC